rnacentral:lncRNA from 1 species
CGCCAAUGAGUGAGGCCACGAAUUCUGAACCAGGACUUCUCCGGUGCCCUGGAACCUCACUGGCUUUUCCCAAAUACUAAAAUCUCCCCAAACCGCCUCCCUCAAGUCCUCUGUUUCCCAAAUCUUCUGCCCUUCCUCCUUCUUUUGCCGCCUUCUGUCUUCAUCUCUCUUGAGUCCUGACUUUGCCCUGUUCAAGCCUCCACUUUCUCCAUUGCUCUGCCCACCUAGCCAGGCUUUUCCCUUCUCUCGCCAGUCCCUGAACCCCUUGAACAUUGAUCGUCCCUGUUCUCAACAGACUCAGAUCUCCCAGGAGCAACUACCUGAGGGUAAAAACGACAAGAAGUAAUGAGAAUUGGGCUGGCAUUUUACCCACUCAGAAGUCCUCUGGAUACAUUGAGUCAGCUGCUCGGAGUCUUCUCAGGCACUGCCUAAGCUCGCCCUUUGAUCGUGUGUCCCCAAACUCUUCUUGGGGAAAACAUAAGUCCUUUCUCUGUACUUUGAGAAGUCCAUUUUCUGAAUUGUUUUCUUUCUUUUUUCUUUAUCUACCUUGUUUUCUCUGAGAUCUGACAGGCAUCUCGUUGAAAGACAGAGUCUCAUGAAGUUGCAGGACUGGGUUCAAACUUGCAGUCCUCCUGCUUCAGCCUCCUGAGUAUACGGGACCAAAGACUGGAAAUUCAAGAGCAGGUCUCCAGCGUCUGGUCAGCUUCCGGUGAGGACCUUCUUGCUGAGCAUAACAUGGUGGAGCACCUAGCAACAACAGAGAAACACUGUGAUGUCAAUCCUCCCACCUCUCCACGAUGUUAUGCGAGUCUGUCAAACACCAAGUCUCAUUAGUUGAGAUCAUGGAAAAGGACUGACUUCUGCCUCUGGGUAGAAGGAGCAGGAUCCACCAAUCUUAGAUAGUAAAAUGAUCCAUUAACAGAUCAAAUCGCCCCUUAAGUAAUUUAGAG